AUUAGCCUUUACACACACAGUGUUUGAGUAAAGAAAACGUUGUACUUUUUCAAACAUCAGUUGUUUAUUGCAUUGUGAACAAGCUGAGAUCUGUCUCCAGGCUGCGCGCGGCGUGUCAAUCUGAUUGGGGCAGGAUGAAGUUUCCGGCGAGGUUUCGCUGACGGUUUGAGGACCGUGGUGUUUAGUUGACAAGCUCACUGUGAUAUUUUCUUUCACGUGACUGGGAAGAAUUAUACACCAUUCAACGUCUCGAUCUGCCUGAUCCCGCCCCCUUCGCGGACACUGCUGCACCGACCGACUGACUGACUUUGGGACUUUUUCUGCUGCCUAAGUUCAUAAAGAGUAACUGAACAAGUUGAUCGCAACACCUAAGACUAAUGAUAUGGAAACCAACAUCAGAGGUGGGAUAUUUGAGGGCCUGUUGAGGCAUCUGAGAAGGGUCUGGAGACUGCUGCGCUGCCGUGGACCUGAUGAGACUGAAAUAAAAUUUUCAGUGGAAGAAACAUCACCACUAUUCAGAGGCCAAAGCUCUGUCCGUCCGUGGUGAGACUGGCUUUCUGCACUGAGAUGAUAAUUAUUGACGAAUGGAUGAGCAGCCAAACAACAGAAUUCUUGGACCAACAUUUAAAGCAUUUAAAAGACUGGCAAGAUUGAUCUACUUCCCUCAAGCUGUCUCCAAAGAGGCACUGUUACUGAAUUAUGCUGACCGCACAUGAUGCGGUCACUACUGCUUAGUGCCUGUGUAUUCUCAGCAGACCAAACCCUGUCCUCUUUGGAGUCGUUGGAUGUAUGGAUUCAGACCUCAGGAAAUGUGACCACCUCAUUUGCCAACCACCAAAGACAGUGUACUUUUCUUGCAUCAGGUCAAAUAGGUCAAAUAGUUGUAUGAGCUCAAGUGCACAAAACAGACCUAAUUUUGUUUAGGUCCAUUUAAAGCCCUAUUCGGACAGGAUUAGUUUUACACGGAGAGGUAAGGUAAAGUAAUUAUUACCAGAGCUUCUCAGUGAUUUUAGUCCCAUCCGAAUGGGUAAUCUCAGUAAUCAUUAUGGUCAGUGUCAGUAAAGAUUAUGGUGACUUUUACCUUUUAAAAAGGUCCAGAAAAAUGACCUCAGGUAAUGCUAAUCCUGUGCAGAAAGACCAGUUGUAAACAAGCACGUAAAUAUUCCAUAAUUUCCUGGCAUGAAACUUCUGUUAGCUUUAGGUAAGGGCCUAAUAACAGAAUCCAGUCAGAACUGAAUUAAUUUAAUUUAUAUAUUGUUUGACCAGACCUAACUAACAUAAGCAACACAUUAUAAAUAUAUAAUAAGAAACUUAGUAUGCACAGGAAGCCAUUUGGCAUGUAGCCUCGACAGGGAGGUGCUUAAAUCGAGUCACCCCUCCCAAUUCUGGUAGUUUUACUAAGCUUUCUUAUCCCGUGCGAAUUGGCCAUUAAUAUUACAGACGUCUUGUGGUAAAAUUACAUUACUCCAUCUACUCCUGAAAAAG